CGCUCCGACUGUGGGGACGGAGGCACCGCGGCGGGGCCCGGGCCGCACCGGGCGCAGGAGCGUCCUCGCUCCGCUCGUCCGCGCCUGCGGGGCGGCUUGCAGCCGGGCAGGGCGAGAACAAGGGAGCGCGGCACGGAAGACCGGCAGGGAAGAUGGGGAGGUCUGGGCUGAGAAGAGGUCUCCCGCCGUCGGCGACGAAGCGGACCCCCUCCCCGCGGCCACGGCGCCCGGUCACGCUGCGGGGAGGGCCGGCAGGCACACGGGGAGCGCCCCGCGAGCUCAGGACUCCCGCGCCGGAUGUGAGGUCACGUGAUUGCCUCAUCCCAGCGCCCAGCGCGGAGGGGCAGGCGAGGGGCGGGGCGAUUAUCCGGCCCCGCCCACCUCUCGCAAUCGGGCCCCCCAGCCCGCCUAAGCAAGAACCGCUAGCGGGAGACGCUCUCCAAGAGCGCUUUGCGGUGAUUCCGCUCUGGGCUCGUUUUGAACGGUGUGUGGCUCGCCAUGUUCAGAGAAGAUCGUGGUCCAAACCCCCAUUUUAUGAACAAAGAAACUGAGGCCCCGAGUUAAGUGCAGACUUGCCUAACGUGGCAGUCAAGAGAGGACGCCAAUGCUAACACGGUGGAGAGAGAAGUCCUAGCUCCGGGGCCGGAUUCUUUCCCCACCUACACCAGAAAGAACACUUUAAUUCCAAUGGAACUCCUGGCCCAGCCCGCGGGCGUGGGACACAGAACAGAGUCAGGUAGGCAGGAGAAAGCUUCCACACCCGAGACCGCCUGGACCUCAAGGAGGAGUUUUUCCGACAGUGCUGGAUGCAAAUUAAAUAUUUCCCUCCACUGGAGACUUAUCUCAGGGCACUGCCCCGCCCGUAUAUUCAAAUCGCUGGUUUGGGGUUUUGACUUCUGCUCCGCGCCGAGCGCGCGCGGGAAGCAGAGCUUGCCACCUGCUGCCUCCAGCUCCGCCAUCUUUCCUCCCUGAGUCUACCUCACCUGCAUCCCAGGCUCCUGGUCAUCUCUUGUUAUUGUUCUCCCGCCUUCCUGCAAACUUAACUCUUAGCUGCUUGACCGGCUUAGAAGAAGGAACGGCAUAUUCUCGGGCCCUGUCCCUCAUACUUAGGCUGAGUCCACCAGGGGCAAGGAGCAUCCAGCCUAGUCACCUCUCAGGACAUGCCCUAUUGGUCCACAGCACAGAAUGGCAUCUCCUUUGGGUCAGUACAGUGUCCCAGAACCAUGUCACUAAUACUCCUCAUUUAGGAGCUAAAAGGAUGCUGCUCCGGCCCUCCACCCGCGGCAGUGGGAUCCUGGAUGGCGGCCAUAGAAUUUCGUCUUGCCAAGUGAUAUGGACAUCACACUAAAGGAAGAUAAGCCACAGCUGUGUGUUCCCAGCUCCCGCUCACCACUGUUUCAAACUUCGGUGUGUAUUUACUACCACACUUGUGCUGGAACAGAGUUUCUCUAUGUAGGCCUGGCUGUCCUGGAACUCACUCCGUAGACCAGGCUGACUUUGAACUCACAGAGAUCUGCUUGCCUCUGUCUCUGUCUCCUAAUGCUGGAAGUAAAGUCAUGUACCACCAGGAUACAACUGGGUGUCCUUGCAUACUCCUAUAAUCCUGGCAUGAAGAUCAGGAGCUCCAGGCCAGCCUUGGCUACAUAGUGAAUGAGGCCAAGGCCAGACUCAGCUACAUUAUACUCUACUAAAACAAGCAAAAAACGCAAAAAACAAACAAAGCAAAAACUGGCAAUGAAAGGCAGAUGUAGAUAAUACUGAAGAAUUCUUCAAAAUCUCACUUUAGGCUCUAGACAGCCAAGACCACUCGGAGAGUCUGCUCAAGUACCCAGACUUCAACUGCCUCCAGACCUUCUUCCCCACAGCUUGGAUUUUUCCCUCUUCCGAAACACUGGGAUAGAAUGCUGCUGAGUGAGCCUACAGAGCAAUGGAUGACAGAAUCAUUUCUUUUCAGACUUGCUAUGCCCCACUAGCAAUGGCAUGAUUCUUGUUUUAUGCAGUGAUUUGGAAACAUGGUCCCUUAUACUCCAGGUUGGCUUUGAACUCUGAUCCUUAGUCUCUGCCUCAAGUACUGAGAUCAUGCUAGACUCAAAUAGCAUAUUAUAGGGAAGAAAAUUGAGGAUCACGGGAGGAGAUAAUUCCUGUGAGUCCUUCUAAGUCAAGCCCUCUUUCAUAUUCACUCUGCUGCCUCCACAAAAGAAAACAUGUAUUUUUGAGACAGGUGUGAUGGCUCACACUUAUAAUUCAAACACCCAAGAGGCUGAGGUAGGAGGGUCACCAAGAGUUUUCGGUCAGCCUGGGCUACAUAGUGACUUCCAGGCUAGCAUGUGCUAUAGAAUCAACUCUGCCUCAAAACAAUUACAAAAGAAGAAUAAGAAAAGGAGGAGGAGGAAACUAAGCUGCGUGUGGUGGGUCCUUCUGUAAUCUAGCCCUCUCUCAUGAGGCUGGGACAAGAGGGUUGCCAUGAGCUCAGUGUCAGCUAGGACAGGAUAUAAAUUCCAGGUCAACCUGUACUGGCUAUACAGUGAGACUUUAUCUCAAAGGAACGAACCACCUAGGCAUUGACCUUUAAUUCCAGGCCAAUCCCAUCUACACAGUGAGAUCCAGGCUAGCCAGCACUAAAUAAAGCCCUGCUUCAAACAACAAUCAACAAAAUGAAAGAACAAGGCUGGUGAGAUAGUUCAAGGCCUAAAGAUUUGAGUUUGAUUCCCCAGGACCCCCAUGGUGGAAGGAAAUAACUCCUGAAAGUUGUCCUCUGACUUCCACUCAUACAGUGUGGUAUGUGCACACCUACGCACACAUGUGCACUCACACAUGCACAAAAUGAAUGUAUGAGAAUAUAUGUAGUAACAUAAUGAGUGUGGCCACGCAAACCUGCCCUAACACAGUCCUCCCCAUGUGAAUCUGGAGAGAAAUGCAAACACCUCUUCAAUUUAGGGUUUGAAAGGCAGUGCCUCACUCAGUUGUUCAGAGAAUGUCCUUGUGUCUAGAUGAGGUGACUGUGUGGCCACAGGCUUUUAUGUGUCCCACCCAGUCCCUCAGCCACCUAUAAAAUUAUCACUCAGAUGCUUAAUGUUAAUUAUAAUUGUUUGGCAGAGGCUCGGGAUUAUUUCUGGCUAGCUCUUACAUUUAAAUUAAUCUAUUUCUAUUAAUCUAUGUAUUGCUACAUGGCCGUGUCUUGCUUCCUUGGUGGCUGGCCAAUGUCUCCUCCUGACUUUGUCUCUUUUUCCCUGUAUCUCUGCUUGGAUAUCCCACCUGGCUCUAUUCUGCCUGGCUAUUGACCAAACCAGCCUCUUUGUGUUAAAGAUAGAGAAGCUGACUUCAAGUCUUAGCCUUCUCCUUAUAAGCCAAACAUUUCUCAAUUUGAGUCCCAAUUGUUAUCUUAUUGUUAUUUGUGGUAUUGUGAAUUAAGCCUAGAGCCUCAAGCCAGACCUCUCAUUUUGAGAAUUACUUUACUUAGUUGCCCAGCCUGCCCUUGAACUCAUAAUCCUCCUGCCUCAGCCUGCAAAGCAGUUGAUUUUACAGUAGUUCUGUGCCAGCAGAGCACCCCAAUCUCAGUUAUAAUGUAGUGUUAUCCACUUCACAAGUUAUUUGAUCAUCUAAAAACCAUGCUUAGCACUUACUGUUAAGCAUUAAGUUCUCCCCAACUCAUAUUACCGGCAUAGAGGUAAAGAAAGGGACAAGUGCAGAGACCAUAAUUCUAAGGUCACACAGCUAGCAACUCAGCUCCAGAUCCCCUUGUCUUUAGCCUAAACUCCAGAGCAGCAGUUCUCAACCCCUUUUGGGGGUCAAAGAUCCUUUCACAGGGGUCACCUAAGACCAUUGGAAAAUACAGAUGUUUACAUUAUGAUUCAUAACAGUAGCAAAAUUACAUGUAUGAAGUAGCAAUGGAAAUAGUUUUAUGAUUGGGGUCACCACAGAAUGGGGAACUGUAUUAAAGCAUCACAGCGUUAGGAAGGUGGAGAACCACUGAUCAAGUUUAGAGCUCCAAGUCAGCUAUCUGGUUCUGUUUUCUCUUUCUUCCUUUUCUCCUUCCUUCCUUCUUUCUUUCAUUUCUCCUUUGGGUUUUUUGUUUGUUUUAUUUUUUGUUUUUUGUGACAGGAUUUCUCUGUGUAAUAGCUCUGACUAUUCUGGAACUAGCUCCGCAGACCAGGCUGGCCUCAAUCUCACAGCAAUCUGCCUUUGCCUUCUAAGCACUGGGAUUAAAGGUGUGCACCACCACCACCUGACAUUCUCCUUUGUUGUUUUGUGGGGUUUUUUUUUUUUUGCUUGUUUGUUUUGUUUUGUUUUUCAUUUUUAGCUACUGCUAGUAGCCAACCCUCUGCUUUGUGCCUACACCUCCUAUUCCAUCGAGCUAUGCCCCACCCAAUGAACUAGUUUUCUAGAGUUUACCAGAACACAGCCACACUCAAUCACUGUUGCAUUUUCUAAGCAGUGUUUAUUCUAUAAUGGGAGAGGUGAGGAAUUGUGUUAAGGGAAACAUAGGCCACACAGUCAAGACACUAUCUGGCUGUUUACAAAGAAAGCUUUUUGACAUCUUUUCUAUGGCAUCCUGCCUGUAUGGGGUGACACACUAGUUAUUAGUUGUGGAUGAAACUGGAUUGGAAAUUACUUUUGCUGACCAAGAAAACAAGCGGGACUAAUGUCACUACAGUUACUGGACCAGCUUUUGUAUUCUAAUAGUUGGGUCAGUGAAAUGGAAUCCUUAAUAGCCCAAGGUGUGACCUUCAAUAAUAAAUAAUCCAUAAAAGUCUAAUGUUUUAAGGCCUUGAGCCAAUGUCUUUCCCCAGCUGCCUAGCCUACUCUCAUUCUUGGAGUAUCUUUCUCAUCCUUAAUGAACCGUCUCCAUCCAGAGAAGGGGGGAAGGGGAGAAGAGAGAACAUUUAUGUUUCCUACUUCUUGAGAUCCCAACAUUGUUGGGUUGAAAUGAACUUAGCAAGGCCUGCUAAUACACAUCUGUAAUUCCAUUCACUUGGGAACAUGAAGCAGAAGGGUUAGGGUUAGGGUUAGACAUUCCUGGGCUAUAAAGGAAGCACAAAGUCAAUUGGACAAGACCCUGUGUGUCAAAUACAUCUGCAAUCCCAGCAAUUGAGUAGAGGUAGGAAGAUCUGGAGUUGGAGUCCAAAAACCUUUUGGGUCAGGGGAUGUAGCUCAGUGGUAGCCACUCUGCUGGUUCUGUGUGAGGCUCUAGAUUCAGUGAUGAAGUCGGGGAAGGAAGGAGAAAUUCAAGCUGUUCGUUCAUUCAGGCUGUCCUCUUGGGAAUACUGUACUGGGCUUCUAAAGCUAGUGUGGGACAUCUCCCAUGAUCAUCAGCAGUCCUGCUGGAUGAGUCCCCUGCCUGAAGAGGGGCAGGCCUUUAGCACAGCAAGGCAAAGCCAGAUCUAUCACAGAGCUGAGGCACUAGGCUGGCAUCUCAACACCUGUCAUCCUGUACCAAGAGCUGAUUCUUCAAGUGCCUGUUUCACAUUCCAAAGAAGCUCCUCGAAGCCUAUCAUUCACUGGCCUCCUGUAGUCAGUCGUUAAAAACUUCCCCUGACCUUUGCAGCUACUUCCUAUGAGCCUCUGAGGGACUGCCAGUCACCUGUGGCCUAUUUUCAGAGCUGGCAGCUCUGGCUUCUAGAGCAAACAUGGGACAAGCCCAGCCUCCAGCCUUGGGGGGGGGUCCUCUGAAUUUCCUCUAAGUUCCUAGUUCUAAAAGAAGAUUGUUUUCAGGAAGGAUUAGAAGGGUAAAUGGGAGCCCAAAUGCCACAUUCAGGUAGAUAGAUUCUCACUGCUGUACCCCAAGUCACUAUCUCAAGAUCUGGAUAGCCAGAAGGCUGUUAGCUUGUUUGCUUAAGUCAGUUACUUCCUUGUAGGUUUGGUGGGGGUGCAUUUACACUUAUUUACUUUUUUUUCUCAUAGCAAUGAUGCCCCCACAGAGUUAGGAAGUUAAAGCAAUACUGACUGCCAGCUGUAGUGUGGGAGUUCCACUGCAAAAGAAUGUCGUACAUAUUUCAAAAGUGAGCCUGUCCAAAACACGCCUCCAGUUUGGCUUUACCUGUAAUCUAAUCCAGUGGAGGAAGCAGAAUCCAAAUAGCUCAAGGUUCUGCGAACUCCACAACAGCUGCCACCACCAAAUGACAGCAAGCUGGGCUCUAAGGUGGAGAAAACUUGGUAGCUCCAUGCCACGUGGUCUUUGCCACUGUAGUCCUAAGAUGGACUUAAAUAGUUCAUAUUAGCGACCAAGAAAACUGAGGUGAAACCUCUUGGAACUGAACUACAAGUUCAGUUAUUCACAUUUGAUCUUGGUCCAAAGGCCAAGAAGAAAAAGGAAAGGGAGAAAGGAAGGAACACGGUUACACCACAACUUGAGAGUCUCCUGCCUCAGCCUCCCCAGUGAUGAGAUUAUACACAUGGGACAUCAUGCUUUAAAAGUCCAUCUAUCUAUCCAUUCAUUUAGAGGCAGUAGCUCAGUUUGGCCUCAAACUCUCCAUGUAGCUGAGGUUAGCCUUGAACAAUACAUGAUGUAGCUGAGGUUGGCACUGAACUCAUGAUCCUCCUGUCUCUACCUUCCAGGUACUGGGAUCACAGUCAUGAAUCACCAAGAUUUUUUGUCUUAAAAUGUUGCUCAGGCUAGUCUUGAACUCAAGAUGGUCUUUCUGCCUUAGUGCUGAGUGUGCCAUCAUGCUCAGCAAAUGCACGGCCAAUUUUAUUUUCUAGCGCUAUGGGUGUUAUUAUGCAGGCAUCUGUACUGGCCUGCCCAUGAGGUCCUGACAGGAUAUGCCCUCAGCUGCAGCCACUAAGAGCACCACCUGUGUCUUUUCACUAUGUUCCCUUUUAAAAAGGGCCCUGCCCACUCCCAUUCCCCCCCCUCUCUCUCUCUCUCUCUCUGUCCCCCUUUCCUCGCUCCUGCUGCUCCUGUCCUCAGAGGCCAGUCUCCCCUUUCCCCCUUUUAUGAUCCCUUUCCCUAAUUAAAAAAAA
ensembl:lncRNA